ACAUAUGCUGGACCAUCAUCAUCCAACAACUGUGCCCUGUAACUCUCUGGUCUGUUAUCAUAUCGCCUUAACAGCUGAAGGCUUGUUCCACUGAUAAGUUUAGUAGUCAUGUAUGUCUCCCAUGGAAUGUCCCUUGUAAGAACCUGCUCAGUGCUAAGCUCGGCCUGGUCUAUUGCCAUCGCAACUUCCGCUUGCAAUUACACUACCAGCAACGGAUCUUUUCGCAAA
rnacentral:misc_RNA from 1 species